ACCUGGCUGGCUCAGUCAGUAGAGCAUGUGAUUCUUGAUCUCAAAGUUGUGAGUUUGAGCCCCAUGUUGGGUC
rnacentral:tRNA from 1 species